CCUACGGGAGGCUGCAGUGGGGAAUAUUGCGCAAUGGGCGAAAGCCUGACGCAGCGACGCCGCGUGAGGGAUGAAGGUCUUCGGAUCGUAAACCUCUGUCAAGAGGGAAGAAACCCUUGGAUUCGAAUAGGGUCCUUGGCUGACGGUACCUCAAAAGGAAGCACCGGCUAACUCCGUGCCAGCAGCCGCGGUAAUACGGAGGGUGCAAGCGUUAAUCGGAAUCACUGGGCGUAAAGCGCUCGUAGGCGGUUUGGUCAGUCAGAUGUGAAAGCCCUCGGCUUAACCGGGGAACUGCAUUUGAUACUGCCAGACUUGAGUGUCGGAGAGGGUGGCGGAAUUCCGGGUGUAGGAGUGAAAUCCGUAGAUAUCCGGAGGAACACCAGUGGCGAAGGCGGCCACCUGGACGACAACUGACGCUGAGGAGCGAAAGCGUGGGGAGCAAACAGGAUUAGAUACCCGGGUAGUC
rnacentral:rRNA from 1 species